UGACGUAUGUGUGAAUCAUCGAAUCUUUGAACGCACUUUGCACCUUGUGGCUUUUGUCACAAGGUAUACUUGUUUGAGUAUCCACAACCAUCUCACCUCACCUUUGGGUUGAAGUGGACCUGAGAUUCGAUGAGAGGCCCGUAAAAAGGUCUCGAGUCGUUCCUUUAAAUGAGUGUGACCGCGUAGGGAUGUCUCCGCUGGACGUCUAGGUAGAGUCAUUGGGAUAACAUCCUAACAAUCGCCUACCUAGUGCUUUAACCUCGCAAGGGGCUUGAAGAAGAAGCGUUGACGGACCUGGUUACUCUUUGGCAACAGGGUGUGUCUGUCUCGUCUCGUAUGAGGGGAGGGAGGACUAUCAAGAAGCCACAAGGAGCCUCGGCUUCUGUGAAAUGGAUCUCAAAUCAAGUAAGGAUACCCGCUGAACUUAAGCAUAUCAAUAAGCGGAGG
rnacentral:rRNA from 1 species